AUUGAACGCUGGCGGCAGGCCUAACACAUGCAAGUCGAGCGGAUGAAGGGAGCUUGCUCCUGGAUUCAGCGGCGGACGGGUGAGUAAUGCCUAGGGAUCUGCCUGGUAGUGGGGGAUAACGUCCGGAAACGGGCGCUAAUACCGCAUACGUCCUGAGGGAGAAAGUGGGGGGUCUUCGGACCUCACGCUAUCAGAUGAGCCUAGGUCGGAUUAGCUAGUUGGUGGGGUAAAGGCCUACCAAGGCGACGAUCCGUAACUGGUCUGAGAGGAUGAUCAGUCACACUGGAACUGAGACACGGUCCAGACUCCUACGGGAGGCAGCAGUGGGGAAUGUUGGACAAUGGGCGAAAGCCUGAUCCAGCCAUGCCGCGUGUGUGAAGAAGGUCUUCGGAUUGUAAAGCACUUUAAGUUGGGAGGAAGGGCAGUAAGUUAAUACCUUGCUGUUUUGACGUUACCAACAGAAUAAGCACCGGCUAACUUCGUG
rnacentral:rRNA from 1 species